rnacentral:rRNA from 1 species
UCAAAACGACUCUCGGCAACGGAUAUCUCGGCUCUCGCAUCGAUGAAGAACGUAGCGAAAUGCGAUACUUGGUGUGAAUUGCAGAAUCYCGUGAACCAUCUAGUCUUUGAACGCAAGUUGCGCCCGAAGCCAUCAGGCCGAGGGCACGUCUGCCUGGGCGUCAC